rnacentral:rRNA from 4 species
GUGGGUAGUUUGACUGGGGCGGUCUCCUCCUAAAGAGUAACGGAGGAGCACGAAGGUUGGCUAAUCCUGGUCGGACAUCAGGAGGUUAGUGCAAUGGCAUAAGCCAGCUUGACUGCGAGCGUGACGGCGCGAGCAGGUGCGAAAGCAGGUCAUAGUGAUCCGGUGGUUCUGAAUGGAAGGGCCAUCGCUCAACGGAUAAAAGGUACUCCGGGGAUAACAGGCUGAUACCGCCCAAGAGUUCAUAUCGACGGCGGUGUUUGGCACCUCGAUGUCGGCUCAUCACAUCCUGGGGCUGAAGUAGGUCCCAAGGGUAUGGCUGUUCGCCAUUUAAAGUGGUACGCGAGCUGGGUUUAGAACGUCGUGAGACAGUUCGGUCCCUAUCUGCCGUGGGCGCUGGAGAACUGAGGGGGGCUGCUCCUAGUACGAGAGGACCGGAGUGGACGCAUCACUGGUGUUCGGGUUGUCAUGCCAAUGGCACUGCCCGGUAGCUAAAUGCGGAAGAGAUAAGUGCUGAAAGCAUCUAAGCACGAAACUUGCCCCGAGAUGAGUUCUCCCUGAGACUUUAGGUCUCCUGAAGGAACGUUGAAGACGACGACGUUGAUAGGCCGGGUGUGUAAGCGCAGCGAUGCGUUGAGCUAACCGGUACUAAUGAACCGUGAGGCUUAACCUUACAACGCCGAAGCUGUU